rnacentral:rRNA from 1 species
GCAUAUCAAUAAGCGGAGGAAAAGAAACCAACAGGGAUUGCCUCAGUAACGGCGAAGUGAAGCGGCAACAGCUCAAAUUUGAAAUCUGGCUCUUUUAGGGUCCGAGUUGUAAUUUGUAGAAGAKGCUUCGGGUGUGGCUCCGGUCUAAGUUCCUUGGAACAGGACGUCAUAGAGGGUGAGAAUCCCGUAUGUGACUGGUUGCCUUCGCCCAUGUGAAGCUCUUUCAACGAGUCGAGUUGUUUGGGAAUGCAGCUCAAAAUGGGUGGUAAAUUUCAUCUAAAGCUAAAUAUUGGCCAGAGACCGAUAGCGCACAAGUAGAGUGAUCGAAAGAUGAAAAGCACUUUGGAAAGAGAGUUAAACAGUACGUGAAAUUGUUGAAAGGGAAGCGCUUGCAACCAGACUUGCAUGCGGUCGAUCAUCCGGUGUUCUCACCGGUGCACUCGAUCGUAUUCAGGCCAGCAUCGGUUUCGGUGGUUGGAUAAAGGCCUUGGGAAUGUAGCUUCUUUCGGGGAGUGUUAUAGCCCAAGGUGCAAUGCAGCCUACCGGGACCGAGGACCGCGCUUCGGCUAGGAUGCUGGCGUAAUGGUUGUAAGCGACCCGUCUUGAAACACGGACCAAGGAGUCUAACAUCUAUGCGAGUGUUUGGGUGUCAAACCCAUACGCGUAAUGAAAGUGAACGGAGGUGAGAACCCUUAAGGGUGCAUCAUCGACCGAUCCUGAUGUCUUCGGAUGGAUUUGAGUAAGAGCAUAGCUGUUGGGACCCGAAAGAUGGUGAACUAUGCCUGAAUAGGGUGAAGCCAGAGGAAACUCUGGUGGAGGCUCGCAGCGGUUUCUGACGUGCAAAUCGAUCGUCAAAUUUGGGUAUAGGGGGCGAAAGACUAAUCGAACCAUCUAGUAGCUGGGUCCUGC